ensembl:lincRNA Gm14250 predicted gene 14250
GGAAGAGGGUCGGUCCAUCUGUGUCUGCUACAUUUGGUCCCCAGCACCUUGGGGCUCCAUUGUUCUUUGCUGGACAUCCAGACUGGAUGGGCUGCUCAGCCAGCUGCCUUCCUGCCUCUUUUCACUGAUGGGCACCUGUAUUGUGUCAGGCAUUGUGAUGUCGGAUGUGUUGGAAUCAGAACUCACCAUUCUGCAGAUCCACUGCUCAGGAAGAAGACAUUUCUGUAGUCAAGUCCAUUCUGAAGUCUUUGUGUAAAAGAUGGGGUUGGAGAACAGCGGUGCAUCUUAAGAGAAGUGGGAGCGUUAAGGUUUAGAUGUGAGGCGCUUCAGGUGGCUCAGGGUGAACCGUCAGUGUGAGGACUGUGGCCACACGGGCAGUUAAGCAAAUAGAAGUAGACACCCCAGGAAAAGACACACAACCGACACGGAGCUCUCUACAGAGGUGUGUUUGUUUAUGGUGGAAAUGGUCUCCAUAAUUACGGAAGCCGGGAAGUUCUAUCAUCUGCCACUUGCAGCUUCAGACCCCAAGCAUGCUGGUGGUGCACUUGUAAGAGAUUUUGAAUGAG